rnacentral:tRNA from 1 species
GCCGCGGUAGCUCAGCUGGCAGAGCAAUGCAUUCGUAAUGCAUGGGUCGGGGGUUCAAGUCCCUCCCGCGGCACCA